CCCUUAGACGUUCUGGGCCGCACGCGCGCUACACUGACCAGUGCAACAAGCAUCCGUCCUUGGCCGACAGGCUUGGGCAAUCUUUGAACGCUGGUCGUGAUGGGGAUAGACUUUUGCAAUUUUUGGUCUUCAACGAGGAAUUCCUAGUAAACGCAAGUCAUCAACUUGCAUUGAUUACGUCCCUGCCCUUUGUACACACCGCCCGUCGCACCUACCGAUUGAAUGGUCCGGUGAAGCCUCCGGAUUGGCGCGCACCUCGGUGCCGCCGAGAAGUUGGCUAAACCUUACCAUUUAGAGGAAGGUGAAGUCGUAACA
rnacentral:rRNA from 1 species